GGAAGUAUGCCAGAGAGGCCGAUCGGGCAAUCCUGCUAAGAUUGUGAAUGGGUAAAACUGUUCCGUGGGUUCGAAUCCCACUACUUCCGC
rnacentral:tRNA from 1 species